rnacentral:lncRNA from 1 species
UCAAUGUAGCGAAAAUUCCCGCACCCGUAGGUGUCCUUCAGCUGGGCCCUAAAAUAUGUAUACUAGUACAGUGAUAAUGGACGUCAUACUAAACUCCAAAUUAUACACAAGAAACUAAAAUUAAAAAUCAUACAAGACGAACAAAGGCCAGAAGCUCCUGACUUGGGACAGGCGCAAAAUUGCGGCGGGGUUAAACAUGUUUAUGAGAUCUCAACCCUCCCCUAUACCUCUGGCCAAUGUAGAAAAGUAAACCCAUAACAAUACGCACAUUAAAAUUCAGUUCAAGAGAAGUCCGAGUCCGAUGUCAAAAGAUGUAACAACAGAAAAUAAAUAAAAUGACAAUAAUACAUAAAUAACAACAGACUACUAGCAAUUAACUGACAUGCCAGC